rnacentral:ncRNA from 1 species
CGUAUUUUGAUUAUCUAUAUAAAGUUGGAAAUAUGGUCCAAAAGUUUCUACCAAACUACCGUAAAUGGUUUGACUAUAGAAAAUCA